GCUGUGUGUAGAUGAGACUCUGGAAUGACUGCCGGGUGCGGUGUCCAAGUCAGACUGCAGGCACAAUCCUUUCUGCCUUCCGAGAACAAC